UAUAUCACAUUGAAAAACCAGUUCCUGUAUGAUCCCUGAAGUUAAGCAAUUUUGAGUCAGUUCCUAGAUGGGUGACCAAUUGGGAAUACCAGGUGUUGCAAU